rnacentral:other from 1 species
GUUCCCCUGCUACGUUGGUGAUAUGCCGGGCGCGUUGAGCCAACACCUACUCGAUGGGUACCGAUCUCCGGCAUGGUACCCAAGCGGUCAGUUGAGUUGGCCUGGGACGUACCAGGGAGGUGCCCACCUGUUGUCAGGAGGCUCACACACGCAACCGGCAUCCACGGCCUAGUGGAGGCGCC